rnacentral:siRNA from 1 species
GGAGGCCGACAGUUGGAGGUCG